rnacentral:lncRNA from 1 species
GAUGGAAACCGAGAGAGAGUAACAGAGAGGGAGAGUCAGAGACGCAGAGAGGAAAGAAAGAAGGAAAAAGAGAAGAAGAAGAAGAAGAAAGAAGAAGAGGAAGGGGAUUCGAGGAGAAGAGGGAUCCCGGUUGCGAUCCCAGCUGAGGGAAAAAUGUAGGUCUCCUUCCCCUCUACGCAAGGACCCAAGUUUCACAAGAAGAAAAAGGUAAAUACCCGUCCCUACCUAGUAUUCUAAAGAAUUUAUGCUAUAGAAAGGGUAGAUGACAGUUGUAAAGGGUGUUAAAAGGGGAAGAAUCGGAUUUCGACAAAUUUUUCCGGUACUACGGAAAAAUUGUGUCGAAGUCCUAACUUCGGUGAAUUAUUUUGGGGGUCAAUCGGCCUCCGAUGGGGAUGCAUGUUACCAUUUUGGAAACCCCUA